UGAGGUAGUAGUUUGUAUAGUUUUAGGAUCACACCAGAUCUGGGAGAUAACUAUACAGUCUACUGUCUUUCC
ensembl:miRNA MIRLET7F2 microRNA let-7f-2